rnacentral:rRNA from 1 species
UACGUAGGGGGCGAGCGUUGUCCGGAAUUAUUGGGCGUAAAGGGAGCGCAGGCGGUUCGUUCAGUCUGAUGUGAAAGCCCACGGCUCAACCGUGGAGGGUCAUUGGAAACUGGGUCACUUGAGUGCAGAAGAGGAAAGCGGAAUUCCAUGUGUAGCGGUGAAAUGCGUAGAGAUGUGGAGGAAUACCGGUGGCGAAGGCGGCCCCCUGGACAAAGACUGACGCUCAGGUGCGAAAGCGUGGGGAGCAAAAAGG